rnacentral:rRNA from 1 species
AGGACGAACGCUGGCGGCGUGCUUAACACAUGCAAGUCAAGGGGGCCCGCAAGGGCAACCGGCGAACGGGUGCGUAACACGUGAGCAACCUGCCGAAUGCGUGGGGGAUAGCCGGCCCAACGGCCGGGUAAUACCGCAUACGUUCCUCUGGGGGAGUCCCUGGGGGGAGGAAAGCUGUGGCGUAAGCCAUGGCGCGCGUCGAGGGGCUCGCGGCUUAUCAGCUAGUUGGCGGGGUAACGGCCCACCAAGGCGACGACGAGUAGCUGGUCUGAGAGGAUGGCCAGCCACAUUGGGACUGAGAGACGGCCCAGACUCCUACGGGAGGCAGCAGUGGGGAAUCUUGCGCAAUGGCCGAAAGGCUGACGCAGCGACGCCGCGUGGGGGAUGACGCAUUUCGGUGUGUAAACCCUGUUGCCGGGACGAACACCUCCUUUGGGAGGCUGACGGUACCGGGUGAGGAAGCACCGCUAACUCCGUGCCAGCAGCCGC